GUGAUAAAUUGCUACAGGGUGUCCCGCUGUGUGGCUAAAACAGAGGGUCACCCUUGGGUGUAAGGCAUUGUUCACCUCCCCACUUGACUGAGUUUUUCUUCUAUUUUUUUUAUUGAGAUCUCGAACUAUGUUUUGAUUAGAAGACAAACCUUAACCUUUUUCUGUGGAAACGCAAAUCUGCAAAGGUGCAAGGCUCAGAACAAAAUUGUUCAAAAUAUUAUCUGGACAUUCUGUAUUUCCCGGGAGGCUAACAUUCGGAACGUGGGACAGAAUUGAGAACUCUGUGACUCAGAGCUGGAGUCCUGAGGGCUGAUGUCACACAGCCUGCGUCCUGCUGAGUCUGAGGGGCCCGGCGGGGGCUUGUCCAUUCUCGAGCUCUGGCCGAAGACGGCGCUUCUGAGAGUCAGGCAGCUCAGGACGGCUGGACUCGAAGCGUGCUCACCGUUUGGACUGUGUGCGUUUCUCUCGGAGCAAUCUUCUCCCCUGUUAUUGCUAAGCCUCUGAGAGGACUGGCUUCUCAAGGCUCAGAGAGUUUGAUUAACCCAAUUGCUUAUUCCAGGUGGGCGCUUGGCGUCAAGAUGAUUAAGAUGAUUGAUUUAGAGACUAUGAUUGCCAUUGGCGGCGGCUUACUGAUCGCGGCCUUUCUGGGGAUGUGCUGUGUCAUCUGUCUUUACUGCAAAGUGGCCAACACAUUGAAGUGAAUGACGUGAGAAAAUAUGACAGCCAGCGGCAUCGACACAAAAGGCAGGCGCCUCGGUUUGGAAGAAGGCCGUCCUGGGACAGCCACCUCCUCGCCCUCCGCUGCCAGGCACCUAAGGACAAGCUUCCGAGAGCCGCGCGGUGCCGAGUGUCGUCAAAAGAGGGGUGCGCUCCCCUGCAGUGCCCCAGCCCUGUCUGGGAAGUACAGACUCGCCCCGUGCAGCUCAGUGGCCUCCUGACUGUUCUUUCCAGGUGUUCUCGGGCCCCUGAGGGCAGGAGCGGUGCUAGCUCUGAUCCCAGGCACGAGAGAGGGCCUGGAGCUCAUCAGGUGUCGGGCAGUGACUCCAAUCACAGCUUCGCAGUGCGGGCACCCUCUCCACCAGGUGGACCUCGGAACGCACAGCAGUAACCUUGUGAACAAUGCUGAACAAUGUUAUUUUGCUUAUUGAUAGGAAUGUGUUGCACAGU
rnacentral:lncRNA from 1 species